UCUGCCCAGCUCUUAUUGAUGUCCACUCCUACUGCGGCGGCUUCAAAUCGUUUAAUGUUGCUGGAACGGCUGUCCGUGUCAUCUGUUACAUCUUUUAAGUCGUCACCAAUGUCAUCGUCUUUGUCACCGCUCGGCACUUCAAGCUCAACCCUUCCCAUCUGUAGAUCGUAACGCAUGGCGUCAUCACAGCACAGCACGUAUUCCCUUCACCUCAUCUGAUACUGUAGUUCUAGUCAGUCUUCAACUGCAGGCCUUUCAUAAAUCGAAACACGUUAAACAGAAACGGAGUGUGAGAAAAAAACUAAACGAGACGAACCGUUUGCUGUAGCUGUAGUUCUCAUGGUUAUGAGACAAGCCAAAUCGCAGAGAAUGACCCUGGAAGUUCUAUUUUCAAUGCAUCAAUAAUUUUAAGAAUGAUGGAUGGGUGCUGCACCGGAUUUUGUGUAUUACUCUCAGAAGCACAGAAGAACCUGAUUGCACAGAAGAAGUGCACAGAAGUUGGACCUGAUUGUGGAGUGCCGCUUGGGAACUUUGCCUGGAUUUCUCGUUGCAGCUAAUUCCAGUCUGCGUUACAGGCUGUUAUUACAAACAGUUGCACUCUUAUGGCUGUAUUGCUACUGUUCCAGAAAGCUCAGUACUGGCUUUACUGUAGGAGGCACGAUGCUUUAAACCAUUUCUCCUUUAGUUGUUUUUGUUUUACAUUACGUUCUUCUAUUGUUAAUUUUAAUAAAUAUUAUC